CUCUGUGUAGACACGUGAGAUCUCUAUGUAAUAGAGGGAAGAUGAGAUGUGGCUCCCGCUUCUACACAAUAUGCACAAGGGGCACGUGCACACACCCUCUCUCAUACAUCACACACCCCGUGCACACGUGAGACAGCAAUAGAGGGUGGAUAUAAUACCAUCAUACACAUGCGGUCUACAUAAUAUACACACACUCUACAUAAUAUAAAAAGAAUGUAAUAGAGGUAACGCAUAUAAUACUAAGUUUCAACAAAGGAUAUCUUGGCUCUCGCAUAGAUGAAGAAAGCAGAGAAAAGCGAUAAGUAAUAUGAAAAGCAGAAAUCACAGAAUCAUAGAAUAUUUGAACGCACCCUGCGCUCCCUGGUAUUCCCUGGAGCACGCCCGUGUGAGUAUCACGAAAUAUUCAAAGUAAACACUUUGUUAAAUCAAAAGGUCUUUUUUACAUUGGUUUUGGAGGAUAUUAUAGCAGAUUCACACACGCUCCUCUUUGUGCACUAGAGGGAUAUCUCAGUGUUAUGCGUGGUUCCACUCGGCGUGAUAAGUUAUCUAUCGCAGAAGACACCCGAAAAAAGGUGGCCAAGGAAAAUGCAGAGAACCGCUUCUAAUACCCCAUUGACUUGCACAAUAUUCUAUUAUAAGAUCUGAUCUCAAAUCAGGUAGACUACAAGCUGAUCUUACACAUAUCUAAAAGGCAGAAAAAA
rnacentral:rRNA from 1 species